CGUGCAGUGUGGAGGCAGGGAGGGGGCGCUCUGUCUAUAGACUAUGAUACAGAAGCCGCGCGACUCCGGUAUCAGAAGAAUGAAGAGGAGGACGGGCAGUGUGUAUCAUAAAGAUUUAUAACAUAUAAAGUCCAUAUUAGGUCUAAUAUUAACCUCCAGUGAUGUAGUUGUAAGAACAGAUAAAAUAAGAACUCCAAGCUGAGUAGUGGAGAAGAGAUGUCAUACAUGCCUGAGAGACUGCAAGGUGACUUUUUUGACAGACAAGCGGUUACUGGAGAGAGAGCGCAGAGGGGGGCCAUUUCGAUUCAACGUGGAUUUGGAACAGCCCCUGCAGAUAUAGACUAUCCACUUUUUUUCCUCAAUUAUGAAGCCAGACCAAUAUAGACUGGGCGCAUUCUCCUCAUGGAUGACUUACACUAUGCAACACGGAAAUAAGCCUCUGCACUAAUGACUGCUGGGAAAUGGAGUUUAGAGCAAAUCAUGUGACAGUCAGAAGCUCCACCCACCACACUGAUUAUAAAAAGGGGAGGGGAUAAAAGAGGAGGAGGAGACAAGGAUAA